ensembl:lncRNA
CGGGACAGUCUAUAUAAGGAAGUCUGUACCUAAUCUCUCUGCCCAGAUUCUUCUACAAGCAACUCUUGUACAACGAGCUGUGCACACCAGUCAUCAUGAGUGAGAAACCUGAUGUGGGAAAUGUCGUCAUGGCUGCACUUGCCAUCAACAUGUGCUUCUGUGAGUGCGCACAAGGCAAAGACACUAUCUGCAAAAAAGAUGCAGUGCAGCUGCUCCGUAAAGAGAUAGGAAACAAGGCAAAACCUGAGGAGCUGGAUAAGAUGUUUAACACUCUGGACGCAGAUGGGAGUGGUAGCCUUGAUUUUCAGGAGUUCAUGACACUUGUUGGGUCUGUGGCAAUCAUGUGUCGUGAAAUGAUGAAAGAAUGAAGAAUGGUGUCAACUUUCACAUUAAAGCAUUUGUGAAUACAAAGGUGUUUAUAUUGUGUUUACAGGGACUUCAUAAUGCUCAUAUAAAGUUAUUAAAGUACAUGAAUGAAUAUGCCAAUGAUCUUUUAGUUUUGUAUUUGAUUGGGGAAGCAAAUGACUGAUUGUAGCCUACACUUAGGGCAGUGAAAUAUAAAACCUUUAUGAUUUGGUAAAUGAUAGUUUAAAGAGAAGAACUCACGGCACAUGAUGCGUUAAAAGAGGAAGUCUCAGGCCUUUUUGUUGUUUUUGCUUCUUGAGAAAUAUUAUCUUUAAAUAAUAUUUUAGUGGUGCAAACCUACAGAGUAUAUGAAAAUACAAGUUAUUUUAGGAGGUCCUCUUGCUCUUAAAGGUAUCACACACUAUGUAAGAUUUUGAUUUCUGCAAUUUUCUAGAGUUAGCACAUCGUUUUAUUUUGAUAUUACGACAUAUAGAAAAUUGCAGCCAAAGGAAACACAUUCUCAUAGAAACAAGCGGGAUGAAGAACUCCUCCAGGCCAGGAAUAAAGUUAAUAGACAUUACCUAUUUGUGUCUCCAGAUACAAGGACAUGGUCAUAUCAAAUAUAACCUUUACUAAUAAUGAAUCAAUCUGGUUUAUUUUGGAUGGAAAUUUGUGUAUUAAUGACCAGUGGUGGAAGUACUCAAUUUUGUUACUUAGGCCUAAACAAAAGUCCAGAUACCAGAGCAAAAUAAAUACA